AUGCAGAAGAUGCUCUCCCUCCCCCUGUCCCUGGGGACACGGAUAGAGCUAGGAGGAACCACAAGACAAGAGUCCUUGGAAGGGUUACCCCAAAAGGGAGUGCAUUUGCCCCAGAAGAGGCUGGCAAGUGACGAGAGAAGGGUCUCUGCCAUCAGGAGGGGAAGAGUUUUCCUAGAACGAUGGACAGAUGAGGGGAUGUUCCAGGCUAGCUGCAGAAACCCCGGAGGACAGAGGGCAGGGUCCCAUGGGGAAGGAUGGGGCCCAGCCCUCCAGGCGUGGUGCCAUCAAGCUGUCCUGCCUUCUCUGUGAUGGUGGCUGCCAUGUCGUGGGAAAGGAGUGUCUCCACUAAUGAGGAUCUGAAGACCCCAGGGCCAAGGGCAGAGAGGAGCAGUGGGUAGGUGAGGAGGCUCGGGGCCCUGUGGGGUGGGAGGGAGGAAGGCAGAGCAGGUGCCCGGAAU
rnacentral:lncRNA from 1 species